AUUGAACGCUGGCGGAAUGCUUUACACAUGCAAGUCGAGCGGCAGCGCGGGGCAACCUGGCGGCGAGCGGCGAACGGGUGAGUAACAUAUCGGAACGUAUCCUUAAGUGGGGGACAACCUAGCGAAAGUUAGGCUAAUACCGCAUACGCAGGGAACUGGAAAGUGGGGGACCGCAAGGCCUCACGCUUUUGGAGCGGCCGAUAUCAGAUUAGCUUGUUGGUGAGGUAAAGGCNCACCAAGGCGACGAUCUGUAGCUGGUCUGAGAGGAUGAUCAGCCACACUGGGACUGAGACACGGCCCAGACUCCUACGGGAGGCAGCAGUGGGGAAUUUGGACAAUGGGGGCAACCCUGAUCCAGCCAUUCCGCGUGAGUGAAGAAGGCCU
rnacentral:rRNA from 1 species